rnacentral:rRNA from 1 species
UACGUAGGGGGCAAGCGUUGUCCGGAUUCAUUGGGCGUAAAGAGCGUGUAGGCGGCCAGGUAGGUCGGUUGUGAAAACUGGAGGCUCAACCUUCAGACGUCGACCGAAACCCCCUGGCUAGAGUCCGGGAGAGGAGAGUGGAAUUCCUGGUGUAGCGGUGAAAUGCGCAGAUAUCAGGAAGAACACCCGUGGCGAAAGCGGCUCUCUGGAACGGUACUGACGCUGAGGUGCGAAAGCUAGGGUAGCAAACGGG